rnacentral:lncRNA from 1 species
GUAUAUGAAGCUAAUGCUAGGGUUCGGGACCCGGUAUACGGCUGCGUCGGUGCCAUAUCAUCUUUGCAGCAACAAAUAGACUCACUACAAGCCCAGUUGGCUCUAGCACAAGCUGAAGUGGUGCACUUGAGAAUGCGCCAAGUCUCACCUUCAUCAUCAUCGUCCCAUAACUUGCCUGCAAAUUCAAUGGACCAUAUGGUUGAUCAUCAUCAUCAAGCCAAUAUUGGAGGCUCUCUGUGGUCUUGCUAAGCUAAACUAGUUAAUCUAGGAUGCCAAAUCGCCAUCAUUUUUUUUUUCCUUUUUUUUAGUUAUUUAUAAUUAACUAUAAUGAGCUUGUUUUAUUGUUUGCUGCAUGCUUCUUUUUCUUUUGUCUUUACAUCUUUAUUUAUAAGUAUAGCCUUAUCAGUCAUCAUAUGUCAUCUCUGAACUUGACCUAUAGAUGAUGAUGAUCAUUAACCAUAUUGUAAAUAAUAUACCUGAUAUUAUAUAUAUAUAAUAUCAUAUGUUUUUCCUAUUUAAUGUUAAAUUAUAAUCUAUUGAGAUUAAUUUACAUUAAAAAACUACAUGACUUUAGAUUUGUUUCUUAUUGAGGUUUUGUGAAAAAUUAAAUCGAUAGACACUUUAAGAGUUGUAUAUUUUAAAUUGUAAUUGCUCAGACACUUUAUGUUUUUGAGGUUUCAUUAGCUAUGUAGCUUUGAUGUCUGUGCUCCAAACCAACCCCAACCGCCCUAGAUGAUGAUGAUCAUUCACCACGUCGAAAAUAAUAAAUUGAUUUUAAUAUCAAUUAUAAUGAGUUAUCAUAUGUAUUUAAUUAGUUCAAGAGGAUUUGCAUUUAGCACGUCUAAUUAAUGAGAAGCAAUUGAGAAUUUGACUCAAUCUCUAAACUUUUUGGGUGGUUGAGCUAGCUGCUUCUUGUGCCCCACAUUUCCAUCAUUCUAUGUUGUUAGAACGUAUGAAAAUAACAUCACAAUAAAUGAAUGUUUUUGGAUGGAAAACUAAAGUUCAACUACUGCCUACUUUCUCUUUUCAUCAUAAGUUCACCCCAGGAAAAAGUAGUAAUGAAAAUGGAUUAUGUGAAUGGUUCAAAUGUUAUUGUUCAAUCAAAAUAUAGUUUAGAAACUAAAGAAAAUUAGGCCCGAUAUGGGAAGUUCCCCUCCACCCCCAAUAAUAAUAAUAAGUAAAAAAGAGUAUCACAGUUACAAAGAAGCCCAUAUGUUACAUUUUCGACUUACAGCUAGCUCAAUAAUUUCAUGCAUAUGCAUAUUCAGCAAAAUAUCAUUACGUACAAUUUACGUCAUAGACGCAUGUACAGUGAUUCAAGACUGAGUUAGAGAUCUCAAUAGAAACUAUCUCUAGUUUAGAGUGUGAAUCAUCUUUAGAUUAUUUGUUUUGCUUUGUUUUUCUUUUGGAUCACCCUAUAAUGCCCAUAAUUUACAAUCUUCGGGUUAGGUGGAAAACUAGUGGCUCUCAGUUUUGCCAAGUCGAUACCUAAGUGAUAUCAAACCUCAAAACUCAUAGAAGCAUACAACAAGUGUCAUUGUUCACCAUGUGUUAUCAUCAGAUCAAUUUCCAUCUCCCACAUCACUAGUCAAUAUACAUUGACUUUGGUUCUAAGAGGUCCAAAAACAUUUGUAAGCUACUGGCAGCUCUGAAACUAGCUUACUUUAUGCAGGUUUUAAGGUUCCAAGUCACAAAGUAGUACCACUAGCCUGGGAAUAACUAAUUGUUUUUUGCCAUCUUCACGGAUAGAUGAAGCUCUUAACGAUGUCAGUUGAGUACUCCAUAUUGCAGCGAUUCCUUUAACUUCACGGCCGUGGGAUGGAGGUAAUCGAUUUUGUUCAUGGAAUGCCAACAUUUGUUUAGGAACUAUUGCAGGUGGCAAGAGUUCAAUAUUAACACUGAAAACUAAUGACAUUCACAAAGUUAAGAAAACAACAGAAAAAAUGAUAGUUUAAAUGGUUAAAUACGAUAACAAUGGUUGGAAAGUUCCAAUUGAAUUUAAAACUUAAUUACUUGCUAUAUCUGACAUACAUAAAUAUAAAACUAAACUAUUUAAGUUAAAAUAUGAAGUUGAACACACGGGCUCCUAGCUUUUCAACGUAUUGUCUUAUCGUUUGACAUUGAAUUAUGGAUAUCUAAUUGAAUUUUAUAAAAAGCACAAAAAAUAAAUAAAUAAAUAAAAUAAAUUUUGACAGUAAAAAUUUGUAGAAUGAACAUGUUUAGUUAAGUGGAAAAACAGAAAGAGAAUUAUUGGAAGAAGAGAAGUGUGAAGAUGAAAAAAGGUCGUCAAGGUUUAACAUACCUUUUGCUUGGCCCUAUGAAGUUGAUCAGGAUCAUCAUCUUUUUAUAUGUACGUCAGUAUGGCUUUAUGGCAUAAUGGUGGGUGGAGAGUCCCUUCAAUCCUCUCAAGUCUCGACAGGAAACCUAUGCUUUGGCCUUUGUCUCUAAAUUAAUUUGAACUAAAAUCAGGCACUACAAUUGAUUGUGUCCCAUUUUCAAACUUAAUUCAGACUAGUUAACCCUCUUCAAUCCCUUUUAUUUAUAGAAAAAGACAAAAAAGAAAAAGGAACAUUGAUAAGUGGCCCACCCAUGACUCAUGAAGUUUAUGUAUCAUGAUGGAAGAAAAUCACUUAUCUAAACCACUCAGACAGAUAGAGCCACACACGUCGAGUCGCUGAUAAUAUUUUUGCAGUUUCCAUACUUCAUCUACAUGAUGAAACAAUUAUAAAAAGGCAGCAAAUAAUGAAAAAAAAAUUUCAGAUCAAUUAUUGAUUACAAGAGCACUAGAAAAACAUGGGCAGAGCAUUUUUUAACGUUUGAAGCGUUCUUUGUUUCCUAUCAUAUCAAGAACUUGUAUUACAUUACUUUGGCCUAUGAAAUACUACCUUAGGUUCCAUGAAAAUAAUACUAGCUAUACCUCUGCCAGAACAAUAUUUAGAUAUAUUUGCCAAGCAGAAUAGUAAGAUAUUUGAAGUUUAGCUCAAGAAAAUAGCUCAGCCACCUAUAAAUUUUUGCAUGGAAUAUUGCGAUUGGAAAAAUAACAAUCUUUAACAAAAAUAUUAUUUUUGUAGCAAUCCUUAUCUCAGGUCUGCACUUUAAAAAUUUUGCAAUUCCUAUCAGGGUAAAUCAGCAAACAAAAAAUCAUAAAGAAAUAUUUAAAUCAUAAUUGUACAGUAAAGUACUUUUUAAGUUCACUAUGAGUAGGACAUUAACGGCUUGUUUACCAUGCAGAAGGAAGGCACAACAAUCCUUGUAGCCAAAUAACUAAACAACAAUUAUGCAAUUUUUCUUUAAUGCCAAACCUUUUAAGAAAGUAAAUGUGAUUUUUUAAGAAACUAAAAUUUUAUUCCUUUGAAUUGAAAUCAGAAUUUAAUGAUAACGAUGAACGUGUGAAAAUGAGGUUGAAAAAACAUUUAAGGUUUAAACCUAUAGUGUCUCAUUACAACUAAUAUUGUUGUCUAAGCAGUACUACGGUGUAAGUACAUCAUUGGGUGGCAUGAUAAAUUCUGCUAUAUCUUAAAGUAGUUGAUUCACCACAGAUUUUUGGUCCAUUUAACCAGUUAACAUACAGCUUAAUUCUGAUGUUGCAAUCUCAUGGUUUUCUCAGUGCCACGUUCCAACGAUGAAAUAAUAUAAUUAUCGGUCUGUACCUCUUGAUUGACAUUUUAUCAAGGGUCAAAGAUCCACAUCUCCCUUUCCCAGGUAGCUACGUAAAAGAGUUGUGCAUGUGACGGUAUCGGGUUCCAUUUCUCUAUCAAUCAUUUUAUCAUUGCAACUUGAAAGAUGUUUGCCUUACAAAGCCUUGAAAUCAGAACAAUAAAAAGUACAACACCGGGUCUUAUUCCCAUUUCAGUCAUCUCCUUCCAAAAGACUAAAGCAUGCAUAGAAGAAAUUUUUUAAUCUAUUUUUAAAUGAGCAUUGACUAAAAAGGUGCAAAGAACAACAUCAUAUUUGAUAUAUUCCUUUCUGCAACACGAUUUUGUUGAGGGAUCUUAGAACCAUCAAAGGGCGUCCAAUUCCAUUUGCUUCACUAAAUUCUACGAAUCCUUUGGAAGUGAACUUUCCGCUUCGAUCAGAUCUCAUGGCUUUAAUUUGACAUCCACUUUCUUUUCCACUGCAACUUUAAGCUUCUUAAAAGCUUCAAAAACUUCCGACUUUUGCUUCAAAACAUGCACUCAAGUUUUUCUUGAAGAAUUAUCUAUGAAGAGAAGGAAGUAAUUACUUUUACCAAUGGAGUUUAACUUGAAUGGAUCGCGCACAUCAGUAUGAAUAAGCUCGAGUGGCUUUCGAGCUCUUGAGUUUGACUCCUUUGGAAAGCUCUUUUUGAAUUGCUUGCCAAGUAAACAUACUCACAAAGUCGAUUAGGAUGAUUGAUUGAAGGCAUGCCUUUUACUAUGUUCUUCUUUGAUAGUAGCUCUAUUCCACCAAAGUUGAGAUAUCCAUAUUUAAGAUGCCAAAUCCAAGAUGGAUAUUUGGGACAAGCCUUGAGACACUUUGCAACAUCAUUAUGAAAUAUUAUAUUCUUCAACAUUUUCACCUUUACUAUUAGGGUUUAUUUGUUAUCUCUUAGGAAAAAGCUAUAAUUUUUUAAGUGAAUAUUGUUGUGAUAAAUUCAAAUGUUAUGAGUGUCAAUGUGUAAGUGUACACAACACGUAAUAUAAUGAUAAGUAUUCCAGAUCGUCUCCACAAGAAUUGAUGUUACCAAAUUUACUACAACAAUCUGUAACAAUGCAGUAGUUGUUCUAAAUUAAAACAUGAAAAUUGAUGUAACUAAACAACUAACUAAAAUAUAAAAUGCAAUAAUUAAAAAUGCAACAAAUAAAAUUCUCACGCCAAACGCAAGAGUAAAAUUAAUGGGAAUGAAGUAGUUGAGUGAUUAAACUCUCUUAAUGGUUUUGACUAUUUCUUCAAAUCUUAGCCUCGGUUUCUACAACAUCUGUUAUAGCACUGGUUAGAAUCCUUAUAUAUCCUCAGUUGUCGCAUGUUGGAUGUCUUAUAUCUAUAUGCAACAUAACAGUGACCAAUUGUUAUGCCAAUAUAAGACAUAACAUUACACGCUUAGAUUCUAUUUACCCUACAAGAUGAAUCUUUAUGUUUAGUUCAUCAUUAAUUUUAGAUUAAAUAUGACCCUUUUGGAAUCAAAUGAAACUCAACUCAGGAAACUCAAUGUAAAACCAAGUAUUGUUUUGAUAUGUUCCACUAAGAUAUGUCAUUUUGUGGCUCUUUCUUAACUUGUAUCAUUAAAUGGAUGGUCAGCCGAAAUAAUGAAUAGAAUAAGCUUUACCAAAACAAAAUGCUAUAGCAAACAUGCAGCAACAUAUAAAUUUAGUCAAAAAACCAUUAAGAUUUUUGUCACUCAACUACAAUUAAAUUAAUUUAUAAUUUGCGAAAGUAGAAUAAACAAAAGAGUUUUAGCCAUCAAAUACACCCCCAUGAUUAAAGAGUAAACAAGACAACAAGAGAAGAAUAAGAAUGAUUGAAUUCCAAUUGACUUCUGUAAAUUCUCAUUUGAUGCAGCCUUAAUUCUUGCUUUUGAAUUCUAUUUUGUCCUUGUUUACUUUCGGUUUUUGUUCUUGGUUGACGGCCCCUCUCUUCUCCUUUGCUUGUGUGCUUCUUUUAUAGCUGAAAAUAUGGUAAAUUGAAGUUUAGGGCACGUAUCUUCCAAAUUAGGAAACUCCAUAUCACAAUCUGCUAAGUAUCUCGCGUGGAAUCUUUUAUGUCAAUACUCCAGGGUUGCCACAACAAUGGCUACAACAUCUGCAUUGUUCCAGACUUACUUCAAUUCUUUUGCAGUCAUGUUCUUUUGUUCUUUUUGCAAGCCCAUUGCAACAACAUCGUUCAUUGAAAUUCGAGCUUCCAAUUACCUACAAUUAUGCAUAAGAUUUAAGCACACAAUUAUUCGAAUUCAAACAAACUUCAUUAAAAUUAAACUAAAAUGGAUGUUGAUGCAAAUUAUUAUUAAAUGCAACAAAACACAUCAUUUACUCUCUAAGUAAUCUUGAUUUAAGUUUAAAAGUGGCAUGAUAACUAUUUUUAUCAAAUAUCAUAGUUUUUUUUAAGAGUUGACCCAAACCGAGACUGUUACUUUUCAUAUUGGGCACAUAGUAAACAUUUGAAAUUAUUUUGUAGCUAUCAUCUUUUGCACGAAAAAAAAUGUUACCUCUGCCCUUUACUGGUACUUUUGAAUCAUUUUUAAAAACGACAUUGUCAUUUACAGAUUCAUUUAGUUCCACGAACAUGCUUUUGUUUCCGUUCAUAUGAUUGCUAGCACUUGUGUCAAAAUACAGUGUAUUUUCUUGACCUCUACUGAUGUCAUUACGUGCUAAUAAAAGCAUAUCAUCUUCACCAUUCUUCUCUUUAACAUAAUUCAAUCUUUUACCAAUUCUGGUACUUAGAGCUCUUUGCAUAAUUCAUUCAUAUACAAAUUAAUUAAAACCAUCCUCCAUAUCUCUGUCUCCGCGAUCCAAGAGAAUACAAAACAUGUCCAAAUGUGGAACUAACGGUUCAGGUAACUUAUUUGUAGACUCAAAAAAUAUAAAAUUUUAUAUAGGUAACAUUUGUAACUUAAACACGUCAAAAUUGAUUUUUAAUUUUUUUCUUUCUUUCACAACCUUUCGGUAACCCUUGCUGAAUCAAUGAAAAUAGAAUUGAAAGAGAUUAAUAGAGCUUACAAAUCAAAGGGUAUAGAGAACCAGGCCCCGAAAAAUCCAACAAAAGUUAAAAGAAAUUAAUGGAGUUUGCAAAUCUAGUAACGGUAAGUUAUACAUUGACAUUUUAUUCCAAAUUUUACAUGAAGACUCGGGCACUUACUGUAGCUUAAUUUCUAACUGUAGCUUAAUUUCAACCACAACAGUACAAUCUAAAUAGCCAUAAAAUUCAUGUAGACACAUCCACAUUGAGAAAAGUACAGACUUCACGAAUUGAGACCAUAGAUUUACAAUAUUGUAUUAUCCAGUAUUAUAAAUUAGGUAUGGUUCCAUUUCAAGCUUGCAUUUUACAAGAUAAGGGCUUUCAUUUUUAUAUAGCAGAGAAAAUUUCAUACUCAAAUUAUUUAUGAUAACCCAAAUCUCAAUUCUUCUAAAAGAAAAUAGGAUUAUGGUCGAUGAAUCUCUUGAUCUCUCGAUCUAUAAAUGACCACCUACACGUGCAAGUUGCAAAAGAUGAUCUUAAUUACAUAAUUAAUUUGGGAACUGCUUGUUUAGCUUCAUGCGAAGAAGACAAUAGCUAAGUUAACGUGAGUGGGCUCACUGAUUUAGCAUUUUGUGACUUUUUCUUUAACGUGAGUGGGCUCACUGAUUUAGCAUUUUGUGACUUUUUCUGCUAUAUUUUAUAUGAAAGCUUGAUCCAUUUAUAUAUUACUAGAUUGGUUACGAUGCUUCUUUGACAACGAAAUAAAUCAAAAUUAAUCUUGAACAACUUAUUUAGAAUUGUGCAUGCACUAUAAUCAGUGGAGCUAAAUUGAUGAAUAAUAUUUAUCAAUGUCAAAGCACUCGCUCUCGCUGAUGUUACCUGCCUGCCCCGAAGUAUCGAUCAUUCAAUAUUUAUAUUAAAUGAAAAUCAAAUCAAAUAAAAUUCAAGACUCGUUUCGAAAUCAAACGAUACAAAUUCUCCAAUCAAAGCGUUAGUUCGCGUGUUACUUUUGUAAAUAUGAUUCCUAUCUUUUCAAGAGGAUGUGUAUCUUAUCACUUGGAACAAAUUUAAUUAGUAUUACGAUUUGAUUUAUACUUUUAGUUUAUUUAUUUAUGAUUAUUAUGUUUUUUUUUUUUUUGCUCAUACUCCGCCUGCAUGUAAAGUUAUCGGCAAGAUCUAACCGUGGAUAUAAAUAACAUUAAUUAAAAGAAUAAAGCACUCAAUUUUCGUGAUUUUUUAUUUUAUAAUUGUGGCUAGCACGCAAUGAAUACACGACGUUAAAGUGAUUUUUGAAUGAAAUACAGAACGCUAGGUUUAAGGUAAUCUUAAAAUAUUUAACAUAGGAUUACUAUAUAUAUAUAUAUAUAUAUAUAUAUGAAAACAAAAGUUUACCAUCAACCACUUGACCUCAAUGGACGGAGACUAACCAGUAUUGAUCCUAAUCAAGUCAUGAUGUAUUAAUUAAGAUUUCACUAAUGUGAUAAAGCCUCCUUAUGCUCAAUUCCUGACCAUAGAAGUCAAAUCGAUAUUUUUCUUUUUUAUGUAUUUUUAAUCAAUUCUUCAUAUCAUCGUAUGACUUUUAUAUCAGGGGAGAAUUAUGUACCAACAUUUUUAUUUUAAUUGAAAGGAUCAAGAUCCAUAUUAAAUUCUUAUUUUGUUUUACAAAGAAUCACUAUCAUAAAAUUAUUUGGUACAAUUUUACAAAGUAGAAUCAUUAUCAUAACAGCUUGCAAAUCUAAUAAACAAAAACGUCAAAAACAAUGAAAUUAAAAGAAGAAAUGUGGGGAUAUUUCCUUUCUUAAUUAUAUUGUAUAAUUGAGUGGAGGUAGUAUUCUCCCUUACCCAAGUGUGAGUAGAGUAAAAUUUGGACAAAGCUCCAUAAGCAUUUAUGUAAGUUGGUCUCAGUAAUAGUUUAAUUUGUAAAUAUCAGUUAUAGUCUCACGUAAUAUGAAUUGUAGUUUGAGAAAUAGUCUCAUGUAAUAAAACAAAAAAAAAAGAAAGAGAAGUAUUUAUAAAUUUCAAACUUAAGUUGGUUAAAAGAAGCAACCCAAUUCAAUAUUCUUUUAUUCCCUAUCCAAUACAAUAACAAAUGUAGUUAGAAACAUAAUGAAGCUACUAGAUUGAUACCAACUUCAAGGUAAUUAAUUAAUUUAAAGAUUACUUAAGAAUUCUCUAAUUAAACGUUAAGAGAAAAAAAAGGGGGAAAAAAUAUCAAAUUGAGGUGGGCCAAAAGAUCUCAAAAACAACGAUGUUUUUGCCAGCAAAAUCUAGUGGCUCUUCUUUGGUGGAACCCUCUAAAGAUUCUCUGUUAGCUUCAUAUAUUUUUUCCACUCUAUAUAACACCCACCACUCUAAUUUUUCAAGCCCCCUUCUCCUCUAGCUUUCUAGCUAUUUUGUUCAUUUGUUAUCUCCUUUCUUGUUUUUUUUUUUAUUAUUGCGAUUGCUCAAUAUAAGCCAAAGUAAUAUUUGUGUAUAUAUUUAUUUGUUAGAAUUUUUUUUAUUAUGGAGAGUGGAACGAGGCAAGGAGCAUUGUCACCAUGCGCUGCAUGCAAGCUUAUUAGAAGGAGAUGCGCCCAAGACUGUGUCUUUGCUCCAUAUUUUCCGGCUGACGAGCCGCAGAAAUUUGCCAGUGUACAUAAGGUCUUCGGUGCCAGCAAUGUUAACAAGAUGCUACAGGUUCCAUUUCCGUGCUCUCUCUUUGUCAGAUCCUAGGGUUUCUUUAACAGUAUACUCUCUGAAUUCUUUUUUCAUGGAAAAGAUAGGCUACAGCUGUUUUUGGAUACCUAAUGAAUGUAUCCAUUUUUUGGUUCUUUUAUAUUUUUUAUAUUUUGUUUUUCACAUAUUGGAGUUAGGUCUACAUUUGAGUAACUUCUAUUUAGUUCGCAUCUUCCUAUUUUAACAAAUACGAACUUAAUUACCCUUGCAGUUAUGGUGCUGCAGGUGUAAUAUAAUUAAUAUUGUAUAUGUACGAUCAUAUAGUUCAAAUUUAAUGUUUUGAUAUGUACAUAUAAUUCACUUAAUUAAACUCACAUUGAGAAACAUUAAAUUUAUUUUCAGCAUGAUCUUCAAAUUGUAGAAAUACAAAUUAAUAAUCCGAUUACCAAGGAGGGGAUGAAAUUUAAGAAGAUAGGGCAAUAGUAGUUAUAGUGGAAAAUUGUCUUUAAAUAAUGGUGUUUAAAAAUGAUAUAGAUAUGUCACGCAUAGUUUUGAGAAAUUGAAAUAAGAGAGGGUUCAAAUUUUAAGUAUUGAUCAAACGAAAAUUUUUCUAUUUAGAGGCUGAUAUGACUCGUUUAGUCAUUUCGAAUUAUCAGAAUAUGCAUUAUUUUUAGGAAAAUAAAUAUGUUGUAUAUUACAAUAUGUAUUUUUUUUAUAUUAGCGUUAUUGAAUUUCUAUAAACUAAUUACUUGUGUAAUUAGCGUUCAUCAAAAGCGACGUUUCAAUUUCUUUUUUUCAGCUGUUAUGACUGUUACGGUGAUUAGUUUUACUGUUAUAGGUUAUAAAAAUAAAUAUAUUCAGUUGACUAAGAUUCUAGUUCUUCUUUUCAAAAGCAGGCCGUUAAUAAUCUUAUACUAAGUUCUUUUAUUUUUUUUUCUUUCUUUCUUUUUAGUUGAUUGUAAGUGAAAGCAAAGAGAAUAAUUAAAGAUGAUAAAUUAACUACUUUAGUUACCACUUGAGACUUUGUUAGCAAUUUAAUAUAUCCUCAGCAUGGAAAAUGGAUUAAAAUUUACAUGGGGUUUCCGCCUGCUCCUUUUGACCACUCUUUCGAAAUUGGUCCAAAAAAUGCUCACUCAAAGUGAUUUUGGGAAAAGAAAGCAUGAAGCAUGCUCUGAUGAAUCAUCAGUGCUUUCUACUUUAUGAACAUAGAGGAUACUUUUCUUUUUUUGUUCGAAGGUGGUCUUAAGUGGACCUUAAUUGUGGGAAGUAUUUUUAAAUCCGUAUCACAAUUCAGACUAAUUUUUGCUCGCAUCGAGUCGACCUGUAAGGGGUAAAGUGCUGGCCAAAGUGGUGACUACAUACGAGAGCGGGGCUUGAACCCCUAACCUCUAACAUAGAGGAUACUUUGAUAGUGACUUUGUUCACCAAAAAGAGAAUUGAUUGAUGUUAACAAAGUAUAAAGUUGAAAUAUAAUUAUCACUAAACACCGAUUAGAGUUACCUAAGCAUGACAUCACCUUGACCUAUGCAAUUAUACCAUUAGUUUGUUGAUUAACUAGGUUAGAUUAAUUCUUUUAGCUGGGUCAUGAAGAUUGAUUGAUUAUUAAUUACUUACCUUUUUUUUUCCAAUUAUAUGCUUAAGCAAAGUGCUCGUUCUAAAAUACCUUAAUAAUAGCUUUUAUAAAAAAAAACUUUGAGAUAUAACAAGUAUUCAAACAUUGAGCUAAUAUAUAUAAUUUAUUUAAUUCAUUAUCAGAAUAUGUUUGAGAUUGAGGAGCUCAGACAUUUAAUGGUAGUUAUCAUAUAAAAAUGAUAGAUGACUUAAUUUAACAUUAGUUAUCAAGUAAAAGGCGAUGUUUACCCAACACUUAACUGUUGUCACUAACAAAACCACAAAACCAUGGCGAGAUGAGGUAGAUACUCCAACUAGGGUUUGAAAAUUUUUUUAUGUAUAAUAUCACAGCAACUCCAACUGAGAUUUGAAAAUUUUUUAUAUAUCACAACAACUCUUGCGAUCUCAAAAUGCAUUGCUGAUUUUUUUUAAUUUUUAGAAUUGCCUCAUUAGAAAUCUCAUUGUUUCACUUAUAUUUUUAAUUUGAACUUUUCCUAGCCAAUAUAAGUUCUUGGAUCUUGGCUAUCAUAUUUUCAAACUUCAGCUGAAACAUAACCGUUGAUAAAACAUAAUCUUAAUUUUUAAUUACUUUCAAGUUCUUCUCAGAGGGAGAUUGAAAUUCACAAUAAUCAAGUUUAAAUUAUAUUAAUUAUUGUAGAAUAUACAAAGAUGUUAGAACUUGUAAUUACACUCAUUUGUGUUAAUGAAUUCUUUAAGACCUAAUGAGCCCUUGUACUCUCCUAGCAAAGAAGUAACCUCUCUAAUUGUUUGCAUGUAAAAACAUGCAGGAACUGCCGGAGCACCAACGCAGUGAAGCAGUGAGUUCAAUGGUAUAUGAAGCCAAUGCUAGGUUUCGUGACCCGGUUCGCGGUUGCGUUGGUGCCAUAUCAUCUUUGCAGCAACAAGUAGACUCACUGCAAGCCCAACUGGCUUUAGCACAAGCCGAAGUGGAGCAAAUGAGAAUGCGCCUAAUCUCACCUUCAUCAUCAUCAUCCCAUAACUAGCCAGCAAAUUCAAUGGACCAUAUGGUUG